UAUUACAACAUUUCAUAGAUAAGAGAAAUCAGAGUAAAAGCGGAAAGGUUACAUAACGUAGAUUGAAACUUAAGUUCAUAGUUUACAAACCAUAAGUAUUUGAUACAUAAAAGCUUCGGAACUUUAUAUUACAUAAACCAUAGAUCACACAACAAGUUUUUACUUGCCCAAGGUCACACAUCAGAUUCCUCAUCAUCAUUACUCUCCUCCACAAGAGUAAAGUAACCAUGACCAUCAAAAGGAUUCUCAAGAGGUUCACCUGCAACAGGGGUUAAUAAACCCUGAGUACAAAAGUACUCAACAAGACUUAACCGACUAUAAAAGAGGUGGAAACUCAGGUAUGCAGGCUAUAGGGAUUCAAGGUAAAGCUUUAUCAAGAUCAAGUAUUUCUUUUGCAUAAAAGCUUACUAAGAGUAAAGCCUACUUUCAAGUUUUAACUCAAGAUUAUCACUUAUAACUAACCAAGAUCAUUAUCCUACUUUCAUAACCAAAUCACCUCUUUCUUAUACCAAAGAUUCACUUAUUACUACGAUGAUGGGGUGAGGAUUGAGGCUCCAUAUCCGAGGAAACACGGCGAUUCGAAUCGAUUAAACCCAGCUGGGGAUUCAGUACCACACGACAUAUGUAGAACUUAAUCUUGCAUAUGUCAACCUGUUUCUAUAGAUCCUCCCAUACAAGAACGGGUCCAGCGUCACCCGAGAGUACAGUACACCACCAUCCUACAGCCAAUCUAGAUGUUUUCCGGUCAUCUCAGAUCCGUAAGGUGGGUACACGCUACUCUCGCCAUCUCUCCACUCCCAGUACGCGGUUAGCCGUUCUCAAGUAUCGGAAUAGCUAUAGGUAAGGCUUACCAGCGCAUGUGGGCUGUACUCAAAGGUCUCAAUCACAACAGGCCAACAAUGGUACGGUCCUUAAUCGACACAGUCGGAGACACUACUUUAAGACUCCAUUCUUAAAGCAAGUCCACCGACCGGUCUCAAGUUUAAACAUUAUUAACCAUAAAAGUAUUCCACAACAACCCUUCAAACUUUCUCAUUUGAAAACUUAUCUAAUGAGCAGGGCUAAGCAUACUAAGUAUUUUCAUAAAACAAGUAUCAAAGUUAAUAUGGAAUCAUCAAGGUAGAUAAUGCAGCAAAUAGGAUUCACUCAAUUCCUAUUCACCUAAUGCAUCAUAUUAACUCAAGUGAUAUAAAUAACUUUAUGAAAAUACAAGGAUAGGGUUUAAUGUCCGGGGCUUGCCUUGACCGGAAGGGACGUUCGACAACUCAGCAAAACCCGAAGGAUCCACAAACUCGGAAGCAACCCACUGAGGAUCAGAU
rnacentral:lncRNA from 1 species